rnacentral:rRNA from 1 species
GGCCCGCACAAGCGGUGGAGCAUGUGGUUUAAUUCGACGCAACGCGAAGAACCUUACCUGGGUUUGACAUGCACCAGACAUCCCUAGAGAUAGGGCUUCCCUUGUGGUUGGUGUGCAGGUGGUGCAUGGCUGUCGUCAGCUCGUGUCGUGAGAUGUCGGGUUAAGUCCCUUAACGAGCGAAACCCUUGUCUCUAGUUGCCAGCGCGUUAUGGCGGGGACUCUAGAGAGACUGCCGGUGUUAAACCGGAGGAAGGUGGGGAUGA